AAAGCAAAAUGUACAUCAACAGACAGCACCUGACACAUCCGAUAACAACAAUGAUGUGAGCAAACGUAAGUCGGAACCUUGGGUCCAUAUCUUGCCUUCCCAUCUUGAGCAUUAGUAACUGCCUGACGAUUAUGAGCAUUGCGUAAAUGCACACGAUGGUUUCAAGGUUAGUGAUGGUUGGAAUACCCAUGAUUCCGAUGGCAUCAAUCAAGAUCUUUAGCAGGAUCUUCU
rnacentral:lncRNA from 1 species